AAGUUUAUAACCGGAGGCGUGCACUUCUCCUCUAGUAGGUCGUCGUGACCCAUUGGGUACAUUGUCUAAGGCUCAUAUUGGAGACCAUGGUGUCAAUUUGCAUUUUAAUCGAUGUUAUUUUGUGCAUUCAUGGACUUUUGUGAUGUCCCGACAUUUGCCUGAUGGUAUAACACAAUGAUGAUGAAUCGCUAUAUUUUAUAUAGUGAGCGUUCAGACCUAUGACAAAUGCUUGUAUGGUAUUUAAAAUGUGGAAAUCGGAUAUUAUGCCGGUUCUACACAUAUGGUAUUGCUAGUCAUGGUGUUCUCGAACCGUUUCUUAUCAUCAGUCAACGGCGUUUAUGUUUUGGGUAAUUACAGGACCCGUCUUGAAACACGGACCAAGGAGUCUAGCAUGUGCGCAAGUCAUUGGGUAUUUAUAAUAAACCUAAAGGCGUAAUGAAAGUAAAUAUUUAUAUAUAAAAUUUUAUUAUUUUAUAUUAUUAAUAAAGGGAAGAUGGGUAACGAUAUUUAUGUUACCUCGCAUUCCCGGGGCGUCGCGUACUUAUUGCAAGUUGCGGCGCACCAAGAGCGUACACGCUGGG
rnacentral:rRNA from 1 species